rnacentral:piRNA from 2 species
UUUGAGUAUUUGACCCGUGAGUGACCUGCCA